GCCUUCUGUUAGCUCCUUUCACCAACUUGGUGCUUUGCUCUUCAAUCUCGAUGUCAGAUGAAACCUGGGCUAUGCAGAAAAGAAGGAUUGCCACCAAAAGAAGAGAGCGUAAAGCCAUUUAAAAGUACUACCAGUCUGAAGGUGUUGACGUGAUCUAACCAAUGGGCUUUGUUAAGAGUGUGCUGGGAUAGUGAGUACCGAGCCUGGUAGUUUAUUUAUAGUAUAGUUGGCUCAAUUACCAAUUCACCCACGGGCUUUGUUU
rnacentral:misc_RNA from 1 species